UACGUAGGGGGCAAGCGUUGUCCGGAUUUAUUGGGCGUAAAGAGCGUGUAGGCGGCCAGACAGGUCCGUUGUGAAAACUCGAGGCUCAACCUCGAGACGCCGAUGGAAACCGUCUGGCUAGAGUCCGGAAGAGGAGGGUGGAAUUCCUGGUGUAGCGGUGGAAUGCGCAGAUAUCAGGAAGAACACCAACGGCGAAGGCAGCUCGCUGGGACGGUACUGACGCUGAGACGCGAAAGCGUGGGGAGCGAACAGG
rnacentral:rRNA from 1 species